rnacentral:ncRNA from 2 species
GCUUGUUCUCAGGGCGGGGUGCAAUUCCCCACCGGCGGUAUCCUGAAGCGAUUCAGGCAGCCCGCGAGCGCCCGCUCCAUCGGGGAGCGGGGUCAGCAGAUUCCGGUGAGAGGCCGGAGCCGACGGUGACAGUCCGGAUGGAAGAGAAUGAGG